AAGGCUCACCAAGGCGACGAUCUUUAGCUGGUCUGAGAGGACGAUCAGCCACAUUGGGACUGAGACACGGCCCAGACUCCUACGGGAGGCAGCAGUGGGGAAUAUUGGACAAUGGGCGCAAGCCUGAUCCAGCCAUACCGCGUGUGUGAAGAAGGCCUUCGGGUUGUAAAGCACUUUAAGCAGGGAGAAAAAGUUAUAAGUUAAUACCUUAUAACCCUGAUGUUACCUGCAGAAUAAGCACCGGCUAAUUCCGUGCCAGCAGCCGCGGUAAUACGGAAGGUGCAAGCGUUAAUCGGAAUUACUGGGCGUAAAGCGCGCGUAGGUGGUUUGUUAAGUUGGAUGUGAAAGCCCUGGGCUUAACCUAGGAACUGCAUCCAAAACUAACUCACUAGAGUACGAUAGAGGGAGGUAGAAUUCAUAGUGUAGCGGUGGAAUGCGUAGAUAUUAUGAAGAAUACCAGUGGCGAAGGCGGCCUCCUGGAUCUGUACUGACACUGAGGUGCGAAAGCGUGGGUAGCGAACAGGAUUAGAUACCCUGGUAGUCCACGCCGUAAACGAUGACAACUAGCCGUUGGGAGACAAUGUCUUUCAGUGGCGCAGCUAACGCUUUAAGUUGUCCGCCUGGGGAGUACGGCCGC
rnacentral:rRNA from 1 species